GCCUGGUUGCCUGGCGGAAAGGGCGCAGGACUCGUAAUUCUGUGGCGCGGGUUCGAUUCCCGCAUCAGGCA
rnacentral:tRNA from 1 species